rnacentral:tRNA from 1 species
GAUCCUGGUGGACGAUGUGCGCAGCAAGCUUGAAAUGAUUCCGACGGUGGCCGAGGCCGACGUCGAGCUGGUGUUCGACCCGCCAUGGGGCCG